ACAGCCAUACCACGUUGAAAACAUCAGUUCUUUUCAAAUCAUUGAAGUUAAGCAACCUCAGGACUGGUUAGUACUUGGAAGGGUGACAAUCUCGGAACACCGGUUGCUGUAGGCU